rnacentral:rRNA from 1 species
AUACGGAGGAUGCGAGCGUUAUCCGGAUUUAUUGGGUUUAAAGGGAGCGUAGGCGGGAGCUUAAGUCAGCGGUUAAAUGGUGCGGCUCAACCGUGCCCUGCCGUUGAAAUUGGGUUUCUUGAGAGUGCAAGAGGCGGAUGGAAUUCAUGGUGUAGCGGUGAAAUGCUUAGAUAUCAUGAAGAACUCCGAUUGCGAAGGCAGUCCGCUGGGGCACGUCUGACGCUGAUGCUCGAAGGUGCGGGAAUCAAACAGGAUUAGAUACCCUGGUAGUCCGCACGGUAAACGAUGAUUACCCGCUGUCGGCGGCAGACAGUCGGCGGCCAAGCGAAAGCGAUAAGUAAUCCACCUGGGGAGUACGCCGGCAACGGUGAAACUCAAAGGAAUUGGCGGGG